GAUGAACGCUAGCUACAGGCUUAACACAUGCAAGUCGAGGGGAAACGAUGAGAGAGCUUGCUCUCUUAGUCGUCGACCGGCGCACGGGUGAGUAACGCGUAUCCAACCUGCCUCUGACCAAGGGAUAACCCGUCGAAAGUCGGACUAAUACCUUAUGCAGUCGUCGGAAGUCAUCUGAUGACGACGAAAGAUUUCAUCGGUGAGAGAUGGGGAUGCGUGUGAUUAGCUUGUUGGCGGGGUAACGGCCCACCAAGGCGACGAUCAGUAGGGGUUCUGAGAGGAGGAGCCCCCACACUGGUACUGAGACACGGACCAGACUCCUACGGGAGGCAGCAGUAAGGAAUAUGGGUCACGGGGCGGAAGCUUGAACCAGCCAUGCCGUGUGCAGGAUGACUGCCCUAUGGGUUGUAAACUGCUUUUGUCCAGGAAUAAACCUAAAUACGAGUAUUUAGAUGAAUGUACUGGAAGAAUAAGGAUCGGCUAACUCCGUG
rnacentral:rRNA from 1 species